AUACGGAGGAUGCGAGCGUUAUCCGGAUUUAUUGGGUUUAAAGGGUGCGUAGGCUGUGCGUUAAGUCAGGGGUGAAAUGCCGUCGCUCAACGACGGAGCUGCCCUUGAUACUGGCGUGCUGGAGUACGGAUGCCGUUGGAGGAAUGAGUGGUGUAGCGGUGAAAUGCUUAGAUAUCACUCAGAACACCGAUUGCGAAGGCAUCUGACGAAUCCGUCACUGACGCUGAGGCACAAAAGCGUGGGGAUAGAACAGGAUUAGAUACCCUGGUAUUCCACGCCGUAAACGAUGAUGGCUAACCGCCUGCGAUAUAGUGUAGGUGGCCAAGCGAAAGCGAUAAGCCAUCCACCUGGGAAGUACGACCGCAAGGUUGAAACUCAAAGGAAUUGACGGGG
rnacentral:rRNA from 1 species